ACGCUGGCGGCGUGCCUAACACAUGCAAGUCUAAGGAGAAAGGCCCUUCGGGGACGAGUACACUGGCGAACGGGUUAGUAACGCGUAGGCAACCUACCCUAAAGUUUGGGAUAACUCCGCGAAAGUGGGGCUAAUACCAAAUAAUAUUCCAACUCAUAAGAGCCUGGAAUUAAAGAAGGCUUAGGCUUUCGCUUUUGGAUGGGCCUGCGUCUGAUUAGUUUGUUGGUGAGGUAAUGGCUCACCAAGACGAUGAUCAGUAGCUGGUUUGAGAGGACGAUCAGCAACAUUGGGACUGAGAUACGGCCCAGACUCCUACGGGAGGCAGCAGUGGGGAAUUUUGCGCAAUGGGCGAAAGCUUGACGCAGCAACGCCGCGUGAUCGAAGAAGCUCUGCGGAGUGUAAAGAUCUGUCAUAGGGGAAGAAAAAUUUCGUUGUUAACACCAUCGGAACGUGACGGUACCCUAUAAGAAAGCCCCGGCUAACUUCGUGCCAGCAGCCGCGGUAAUACGAGGGGGGCAAGCGUUGUCCGGAUUUAUUGGGCGUAAAGAGUUCGUAGGCGGGUCAGUCAGUCGAAAUUGAAAUCCCACGGCUUAACCGUGGUUCCGGUUUCGAUACUGCUGAUCUUGAGUGAGGUAGAGGUAAGCGGAAUUCCUGGUGUAGCGGUGAAAUGCGUAGAUAUCAGGAGGAACACCAAAGGCGAAGGCAGCUUACUGGGCCUAUACUGACGCUGAGGAACGAAAGCGUGGGGAGCAAACAGGAUUAGAGACCCUGGUAGUCCACGCCGUAAACGAUGAGUACUUGAUGGUGGGGGAUUCGACCCCUUCACUGUCGGAGCUAACGCGUUAAGUACUCCGCCUGGGGACUACGACCGCCAGUUGAACU
rnacentral:rRNA from 1 species